AUUGAACGCUGGCGGCAGGCCUAACACAUGCAAGUCGAGCGAGCGGCGGACGGGUGAGUAAUGUCUGGGAAACUGCCUGUUGGAGGGGGAUAACUACUGGAAACGGUAGCUACUCCCGCAUACCAUCAGAUGUGCCCAGAUGGGAUUAGCUAGUAGGUGGGGUAAUGGCUCACCUAUGCGACGAUCCCUAGCUGGUCUGCGAGGAUGACCAGCCACACGGGAAAUGAGACACGGUCCAGACUCCUACGGGAGGCAGCAGUGGGGAGUAUUGCACAAUGGGCGCAAGCCUGAUGCAGCCAUGCCGCGUGUAUGAAGAAGGCCUUCGGGUUGUAAAGUACUUUCAGCGAGGAGGCGUUACUCGCAGAAGAAGCACCGGCUAACUCCGUGCCAGCAGCCGCGGUAAUUC
rnacentral:rRNA from 1 species